GGAGCCUGUCAGCUGAGCAAAGGAGGGAAACUCAGGGUGGAGAACUCCUCCCCCUCCAUCCAUAAGUGGCACACCACUGGCCUCCUGGUGUUAUUAAAGGAAAAUUGGAAAAGUUUCCAGAAGAUUAAGCAGAAAGCUUACAACUUGCACAAGACUCUCAAUUUUCCAGUGGCUCUGACAGAAGGAUAAAUCUUCGGCUGUUUUAACUAAAAUGGACGGUCAAGUUGGUAUCCAUCGUGAAGCUAAAUGAAUAUCUGGACAGGAGUCAGACAAAGGGAAGGAGAAUCCAGGGGAAGAUGAAGCAGCUGCAGGCCUGUCUGCUACCCUAUAUCCGGGGAAGAGCCAGAAAGUAAGUGACAACAUGGAUAAGGUACAAAGUAGCUACUCCUUUACUUUCACACUGGAGAUAUUGCCCCCUCCACUUAAAAAAAAAAAAAAAGUAGAAGAAGAAAAAGAAAGAACUUUUCUUUUGGCUCACUCUAACCAGAGACAUACGAGAAAACUAUUUAUGGCAAAUGAAGUUCAGCCUAUCCAAGUUGGCACAUUACAAAGCUGCCGCAGAGAGCAUAGAAAAUGGUGAAUAUUUAUAAAUGUACCCUUAUAUGGGUACAAAUGCAAUGGCAGGGCAGGAAA
rnacentral:lncRNA from 1 species